AUUGUUUUUUACAAAACCACUGGCAAGGGAAAGGUAGUCGUUCCUCAUAAAGGGUGAGUGCCUUGCGGCCAUGGUUAAUGACCACAGUCACUGCUGUCGCGGCCCUAUCCCAGGCGCCCAUCAUUCAGCACUUAAACAGGCUGGGAAUGGGCGUGCCCUGAGCCUCUGCCAGACAGAGCCAACACCCUCCUGUUGAGGAGGACACAGACUCCUUUGGGGUCUGGGCUUAGUCUUUCCCACUUACCACCUAGGGCAUUAGCCAUGCGAGCCUGCAGCUCUUUGAAAGACACCAUCUUUGCUCUGGAGAAGAACAGGAGGCUCAUCUGUCCUCAGAAAGGACACAGGAAUUGGAAGACUUGCCUCAAGCCUAAAUUGCAAGCGCCGGGGUCUCGUCCGGUGGGUCUGAUACCUGUGCUUGUCCCCGAAGCCGUCUGAUAGGGCCAGCGUCCCCGCUGCCACUCGGAAAACACUUGCGGACCCUUCUGUGCCAGCAACUCGUGCCUGCAAGGCCAGAGAAGGCCGCCGCUCUGCAGAGCUGUUCUAGAACGUUCUAAGAGUGUGACCUCAUUCCUCGAUGGCUGACCCUUCAACAUGCAGACCACGAAAAAGGACAAGAUGCAGCAUACGUUUUCUCACUUGAAGAAGAUAAAGUUGAUGUUAUUUUUAUAAAGUUAUAAUGUCUUGACUUCAUGAAUCAAGGGAAUUAAGCAAAGUCUAAAAGAUGACUUUAAGCCGCUCUACAACGUAUAUGGAAGAAGCUAAAAACUUCAGUGAAUCCAGGGUUAUUUUUCCAGGCGAGAAUAUUCUCUCCAGUGCAUUUGCCCUUUCACGGCACCGGGAGGCAUGCUUUUUCCCUUCUGCAUCGUGUUUAAGGAUGAUUUUUCAGCAAAAAUUCUAGAAAUUAGCCGUUUCACUGUUAAAGCAAAUGUUUUCGCUACUCAUGCCUCUGAUUGGCCAAUCCGCGGAUGUGACAGUUUCAAAAUUUGUGUGGAACAGGAGGGACCAGAUGUAGAGGAAAGCAGGCAUCCCGCUCAGGAAAGCCCACGGCAGCAACACACAGCCAUCCAUUUGGAGCAAGACCUAGCUUGACAUGUGAUUUGAAAUGCGUCCUGUGGACACCAGAAACUAUUGUUUUAAGGCCUUCACGGGCCUUUACAGGAUAUCCUUUACCCAUUCACAGGGAGCUUUAACUCCCCGAAAAAGAUCAAAGUGUGAUCUUUCUCUGAUGAUUUGAAAAAUGUCACUCGGAAUUUGUAGUCGGGCCGGUUGGACACAGCAUUUGACUUUUCGAUGGAAUUGAUUUUCACAUCAAGAAGAAAGCCAAAUUCUCAAAGUCAGGCCCUUUUUCACUUGCUGUAAAUGUAUGAACGUAAUUUUGUUCGGGGAAGUGUUCCUGGGUCAUUUGGAGACGCCUGCUGAAUUAUCUCCACACCCCCGAGGACUGGCGACGUUUGUGCCCGGAGAGGAGGUGGGCUUCAGAGGAGCAUAGGACAGGUGGUGGCUGGGUGGCCAUGGGCAGGUGGAGUGGGUGUCUCCCAGACAAGAACAAUGGUAGAAAUGGGGCAAGGAAGGCCGUAACUUGCAGGUUAAAAAAAAUAAAAUAAAUAAUCACUCCCUUUACACGAAGCACCAAAGAAAUGACUGACUAAAGUUGGCUGAUUCCUUCCCUCUUUACAGAGGGAGUUGAAUAGUAAUGAUUGUGAGACAUGGUCGCUUUAUUUUCGAUUAUGGAGCCACUGGAAUUAUGAAUAGCCCAUCGACUUCCCCUAAGGGCCCUGCGUACCCUCCAGCACCCUCCAGGAAGGCACCUGGCACCCAGAGCUAACCGUCCCCCCUCACCCCAUCUUUGCGUACCUUGCAGCCACCAGCAGGUCCAGGCAUGGGGGCUGGGUGGCCCCCUUUGGGGCCCUGUGGCCAGCUACAGACCUUCAUCACACGUCCACUGGGGCCACAAUAAGAUUCCCCAGACCAGCGACACCCAGCUUGCUGUUUAAGCCAUGCCCACUUCCAGAGGGAGCUUUAAUAGUUGAAAUGUUUGGAAAACAUUUUUCCCUGGAGACCUAACAUGAUUUCCCCUCCUCCCACGAAAGGUUGACUCCAGAGGUUUGAAUUCCUCAAUUACUUAAAUUCCUAUGAAUAUGAAUUUUUUUUCUUUUCAUGUGGCCACAUUUAGAAAAAGAGUUCUUUUCCUGUUAACUAAUGAAAGUCGAACUCGGGAAUACUACGGUUUCCUUGCGUUGUAAUGGACUUGAGAUUUCUUUCCCCCUCAAAGACUAACAUACCUGCCCUUUUAGAGCUGAGGGACCGGGAUGCCCUCCCCGUGGUGGCUGAUGCGGGGCCUCUCACUGACACAGCCAGGGGAGCACUGGUGAAUGCCGCACCCCAAAUAUUUAACUACCUUUAAUGAAAUCCGCACACACUCACUAUAGAAAGUGAGCUCACAGUAUAGGCAUGUCAUCAAAACCUACAGGAACAAUAACUGUGUUUUAAAAUUUCAGCAACUCACAUUCUUACAGCAAACUCCCCAACACCACGAUCUCAAAACCAUCUCUGAAAACUGGUCGUUCUGCUUCCGUAUUUUAUUUUGUUCUGAUCUAAAACAUCUUUGAUGUAAGGGUAGGGAAUGGAGAACUAUUUCUAACCGUGCACUCAAAAUUACAAAAGGAC